GUAAAUACCCCUGUAUUGUACCCUACAAUAAGCGCCUGAGGACAGGCUUUUUUCUUAAGGAUGGGGAAGUAACAUAUCCAUUAUUACACCCACAACUCCCCAUAAGAUAACUAUAAGCAACAUACACUAGUAUAAGCUCAUAUACACACAUUAAUGUAUGAACACAAAAUAUCUAAGUCUAAGCACAAAAUGUAAUCAAAGAACGAGAGCCCUUCGAUUAACCUUGGACACAGCGUCAUGUUCCAAAGCCACCCUUUCUCACAGAUCGCAAAUCGUAAACAUAGACACUUGUCGCCUUAUCAUAAACAUAGACACUUGCCGCCUUUAUAAACACCGACUCUCGUCCCCUAAUCAUUUGCAUUCGACCACUUGGCGAGCCAACUGAAAUAAUAAACUUUCGCGAUCGGCGCCUACGCCUACGCACUUGUCCCAGGAUUCUCCAAUUACCCCUAUUCUUCAGAAGACUCUCUUCCAACAAGAAAAUAGAGGUUUACAACCCAACUCUCUUAAACUUCGCUCUUUGGCUUCCCCAAAUUGCCUAUAAAACAGCAAGCAUGCCUCCAUGCAGCAGUUCAGUACUGAGUACGUUAUCAACCGCGAUAACACCGCUUAAGCCAAUUUAACUUUCCAAUUUCGUGAUAAUCAAAUGGCUCUAGUUCUUUCCAUAAAUGGAAUUAAUAAAAAGGUUUAAUAAAAUAUAAAACUCAAUCGUGUGUUUUUUUUAUCAAACCCUCGGUCUGAAUUCGUAAAUAUAUUUAUAUUAUUUAUGCCUCUAACCUUGAGCAUAUACGCUGUGACCCGAAAGAUGGUGAACUAAUCUUGAUCAGGUUUAAGUCAGGGGAAACCCUGAUGGAAGACCGAAACAUUUCUGACGUGCAAAUCGAUUGUCAGAAUUGAGUAUAGGGGCACAAGAGCAAUCGAACCAUCUAAUAGCUGGUUCCUUCCGGAGUUUCCCUCAGGAUAGCUGGUGCAUUUUAAUAUAUAUAAAAUAAUCUUAUCUGGUAAAGCGAAUGAUUAGAGGCCUUAGGGUCGAAACGAUCUUAACCUAUUCUCAAACUUUAAAUGGGUAAGAACCUUAACUUUCUUGAUAUGAAGUUCAAGGCUAUGAUAUAAUGUGCCCAGUGCGCCACAUUUGGUAAGCAGAUCUGGCGCUGUGGGAUAAACCAAACGUAAUGUUACGGUUCCCAAAUUAACAACUCAUGCAGAUACCAUGAAAGGCGUUGGUUGCUUAAAACAGCAGGACGGUGAUCAUGGAAGUCGAAAUCCGCUAAGGAGUGUGUAACAACUCACCUGCCGAAGCAAUUAGCACUUAAAAAGAUGGCGCUUAAGUUUUAUACCUAUACAUUACCGCUAAAGUAGAUGAUUUAUAUUACUUGUGAUAUAAAUUUUAAAACUUUAGUGAGUAGGAAGGUACAAUGGUAUGCGUAGAAGUGUUUGGCGUAAGCCUGCAUGGAGCUGCCAUUGGUACAGAUCUUGGUGGUAGUAGCAAAUAAUCGAAUGAGACCUUGGAGGACUGAAGUGGAGAAGGGUUUCGUGUGAACAGUGGUUGAUCACGAGUUAGUCGGUCCUAAGUUCAAGGCGAAAGCCGAAAAUUUUCAAGUAAAACAAAAAUGCCAAAUUAUAUAAACAAAGCGAAAAUAAUACACUUGAAUAAUUUUGAACGAAAGGGAAUAUGGUUCCAAUUCCGUAAUCUGUUGAGUAUCCGUUUGUUAUUACAUAAUGAUAUGACAUAUACUGUUGUGUCGAUAUUUUCUCCUCGGACCUUGAAAAUGUAUGGUGGGGACACGCCAAUUUCUCAACAGGCCGUACCAAUAUCCGCAGCUGGUCUCCAAGGUGAAGAGUAUAUGUCGAUAGAAUAAUGUAGGUAAGGGAAGUCGG
rnacentral:rRNA from 1 species